GACGAACGCUGGCGGCGUGCUUAACACAUGCAAGUCGAACGAUAAAGCACCAGCUUGCUGGUGUGGAUUAGUGGCGAACGGGUGAGUAACACGUGAGUAACCUGCCCCUCACUCUGGGAGAAGCCUGGGAAGCUGGGUCUAAUACUGGAUACGACCGAUCUCCGCAGGGUGUGUUGGUGUAAGGUUUGUGUGGUGGGGGAUGGACUCGCGGCCUAUCAGCUGGUUGGUGGGGUAAUGGCCUACCAAGGCGACGACGGGUAGCCGGCCUGAGAGGGCGACCGGCCACACUGGGACUGAGACACGGCCCAGACUCCUACGGGAGGCAGCAGUGGGGAAUAUUGCACAAUGGGCGAAAGCCUGAUGCAGCGACGCCGCGUGAGGGAUGACGGCCUUCGGGUUGUAAACCUCUUUCACCAGGGACGAAGCUAACGUGACGGUACCUGGAGAAGAAGCACCGGCUAACUACGUG
rnacentral:rRNA from 1 species